GAGUUUGAUCAUGGCUCAGGAUGAACGCUAGCGGCAGGCCUAAUACAUGCAAGUCGAGGGGCAGCAUUCACUUCGGUGAGAUGGCGACCGGCGCACGGGUGCGUAACGCGUAUGCAACCUACCUUGUACAGGGGGAUAGCCCGGAGAAAUUCGGAUUAAUACCCCGUGGUAUUAUGAUACGGCAUCGUAUAAUGAUUAAAGAUUUAUCGGUACAAGAUGGGCAUGCGUGACAUUAGCUAGUUGGUACGGUAAUGGCGUACCAAGGCGAUGAUGUCUAGGGGUUCUGAGAGGAUGAUCCCCCACACUGGUACUGAGAUACGGACCAGACUCCUACGGGAGGCAGCAGUAGGGAAUAUUGGUCAAUGGGCGGAAGCCUGAACCAGCCAUGCCGCGUGCAGGAAGACGGCCUUCUGGGUUGUAAACUGCUUUUACCAGGGAACAAAUAGGCCAUGCGUGGCAAGUUGAGUGUACCUGGGGAAUAAGCACCGGCUAACUCCGUGCCAGCAGCCGCGGUAAUACGGAGGGUGCAAGCGUUGUCCGGAUUUAUUGGGUUUAAAGGGUGCGUAGGCGGUUUAUUAAGUCAGUGGUGAAAGCCCCCAGCUCAACUGGGGAACUGCCAUUGAAACUGGUAGACUUGAGUACAGACGAGGUAGGCGGAAUUUAUGGUGUAGCGGUGAAAUG
rnacentral:rRNA from 1 species